UCUGAGACAGAGGGGCUAGUUGGA
rnacentral:piRNA from 1 species